rnacentral:tRNA from 1 species
UAAAGUUUAGUUAAUUUAUAACAUUAGCUUGUCAAGCUAAAAUUAUUAAAGACUAAUAACUUUAA